GAUGAACGCUGGCGGCGUGCCUAAUACAUGCAAGUCGAGCGAACAGACGAGGAGCUUGCUCCUCUGACGUUAGCGGCGGACGGGUGAGUAACACGUGGAUAACCUACCUAUAAGACUGGGAUAACUUCGGGAAACCGGGGCUAAUACCGGAUAAUAUAUUGAACCGCAUGGUUCAAUAGUGAAAGACGGUUUUGCUGUCACUUAUAGAUGGAUCCGCGCCGCAUUAGCUAGUUGGUAAGGUAACGGCUUACCAAGGCAACGAUGCGUAGCCGACCUGAGAGGGUGAUCGGCCACACUGGAACUGAGACACGGUCCAGACUCCUACGGGAGGCAGCAGUAGGGAAUCUUCCGCAAUGGGCGAAAGCUUGACGGAGCAACGCCGCGUGAGUGAUGAAGGUCUUCGGAUCGUAAAACUCUGUUAUUAGGGAAGAACAAAUGUGUAAGUAACUAUGCACGUCUUGACGGUACCUAAUCAGGAAGCCACGGCUAACUACGUG
rnacentral:rRNA from 1 species